rnacentral:rRNA from 1 species
GAUGAACGCUGACAGCAUGCUUAACACAUCAGCAAUUGAUUGGUGGCGGACGGGUGAGUAACGCGUAAAGAACUUACCUCACUGUUAGGGACAACUUUUGGAAACGAAUGCUAAUACCUAAUACUGUUAGAGAGCUUUGCGUCCCAUUAGUUAGUUGGAUAGGUAACGGCUCACCAAGGCGACGAUGGGUAGCCGGCCUGAGAGGGUGAUCGGCCACAAGGGCACAGGGACACAGCCCGUACUCAUACGGGAGGAAGGAGUGAAGAAUGUUGGACAAUGGACCAAAGUCUGAUCAAGCAAUUCUGUGUGCACGAUGAAGUUUUCGGAAUGAAAAGUGCUUUCAGUUGAGAAGCGGUACCAACAGAAGAAGUGACGGCUAACUACGUGCCAGCAGCCGCGGUAAUUC